UACGUAGGGUGCAAGCGUUAUCCGGAUUUAUUGGGCGUAAAGGGCUCGUAGGCGGUUCGUCGCGUCCGGUGUGAAAGUCCAUCGCUUAACGGUGGAUCCGCGCCGGGUACGGGCGGGCUUGAGUGCGGUAGGGGAGACUGGAAUUCCCGGUGUAACGGUGGAAUGUGUAGAUAUCGGGAAGAACACCAAUGGCGAAGGCAGGUCUCUGGGCCGUUACUGACGCUGGGAG
rnacentral:rRNA from 1 species